rnacentral:rRNA from 1 species
GUCGAACGGUAACGCGGAGCAAUCUGGCGACGAGUGGCGAACGGGUGAGUAAUAUAUCGGAACAUACCCUAGAGUGGGGGAUAACGUAGCGAAAGUUACGCUAAUACCGCAUACGAACUGAGGUUGAAAGUGGGGGAUCGCAAGACCUCAUGCUCAUGGAGUGGCCGAUAUCUGAUUAGCUAGUUGGUAGGGUAAAAGCCUACCAAGGCGACGAUCAGUAGCUGGUUUGAGAGAACGACCAGCCACACUGGAACUGAGACACGGCCCAGACUCCUACGGGAGGCAGCAGUGGGGAAUUUUGGACAGUGGGGGCAACCCUGAUCCAGCAAUGCCGCGUGAGUGAAGAAGGCCUUCGGGUUGUAAAGCUCUUUUGUCAGGGAAGAAACGGUGUUCUCUAAUACAGAGCACUAAUGACGGUACCUGAAGAAUAAGCACCGGCUAACUACGUGCCAGCAGCCGCGGUAAUACGUAGGGUGCAAGCGUUAAUCGGAAUUACUGGGCGUAAAGCGUGCGCAGGCGGUUAUAUAAGUCAGAUGUGAAAUCCCUGGGCUCAACCUAGGAACUGCAUUUGAGACUGUAUGGCUAGAGUGUGUCAGAGGGGGGUAGAAUUCCACGUGUAGCAGUGAAAUGCGUAGAUAUGUGGAGGAAUACCGAUGGCGAAGGCAGCCCCCUGGGAUAACACUGACGCUCAUGCACGAAAGCGUGGGGAGCAAACAGGAUUAGAUACCCUGGUAGUCCACGCCCUAAACGAUGUCUACUAGUUGUUGGGUCUUAAUUGACUUAGUAACGC